rnacentral:rRNA from 1 species
UACGUAGGGUGCGAGCGUUAAUCGGAAUUACUGGGCGUAAAGCGUGCGCAGGCGGUUAUGCAAGACAGAUGUGAAAUCCCCGGGCUCAACCUGGGAACUGCAUUUGUGACUGCAUGGCUAGAGUGCGGCAGAGGGGGAUGGAAUUCCGCGUGUAGCAGUGAAAUGCGUAGAUAUGCGGAGGAACACCGAUGGCGAAGGCAAUCCCCUGGGCCUACACUGACGCUCAUGCACGAAAGCGUGGGGAGCAAACAGG